AAAGGUGCUGGCGAGUAGCGAACGGGUGCGUAACGCGUGGAUACCUGACCUAUAGUGUGGGACAACAGUUGGAAACGACUGCUAAUACCGCAUAAGUCCUAAGGGAGAAAGGCAGUAAUGUUGCUAUGGGAGGGGUCCGCGUCGGAUUAGCUAGUUGGUGAGGUAACGGCUCACCAGGGCGACGAUCCGUAACUGGUCUGAGAGGAUGGCCAGUCACACUGGGACUGAGAUACGGCCCAGACUCCUACGGGAGGCAGCAGUGGGGAAUAUUGCGCAAUGGAGGAAACUCUGACGCAGCGAUACCGCGUGGGUGAAGAAGGCCUUCGGGUUGUAAAGCCCUUUUAGUAGGGACGAUAGUGACGGUACCUACAGAAGAAGCCCCGGCUAACUCCGUGCCAGCAGCCGCGGUAAUACGGAGGGGGCAAGCGUUGUUCGGAAUCACUGGGCGUAAAGAGCGCGUAGGCGGCUCAAUAAG
rnacentral:rRNA from 1 species